rnacentral:rRNA from 1 species
AGCGCAGGCGGGAAAGUAAGUCAGUCUUAAAAGUGCGGGGCUCAACCCCGUGAGGGGAUUGAAACUACUUUUCUUGAGUGCAGGAGAGGAAAGCGGAAUUCCUAGUGUAGCGGUGAAAUGCGUAGAUAUUAGGAGGAACACCAGUGGCGAAGGCGGCUUUCUGGACUGUAACUGACACUGAGGCUCGAAAGCCAGGGGAGCGAAG